rnacentral:rRNA from 1 species
CGGCGUCACGAGUGGCAAUCACAUUUAUUGGGUCUAAAGCGUUCGUAGCCGGUUUAGUAAAUCUUUUGUGAAAUUGUCGGGCUUAACUCGACAGCGUGCAGAAGACACUACUAGACUUGAGACCGGGAGGGGUUAGAAGUAUUUCAGGGGGAGCGGUAAAAUGUUAUAAUCCCUGAAGGACUACCAAUGGCGAAGGCAUCUAACCAGAACGGAUCUGACGGUGAGGAACGAAGGCCAGGGGAGCGAACCGGAUUAGAUACCCGAGUAGUCC